rnacentral:rRNA from 1 species
UGGCUCGUCUUAAAUGUCUAAGUGGAUAUUAGCGUGAUAAGUCUUCGCUAUCAUUGUUCACUAUAAAAUCACACAUCAAGCUCUGACCUCAAAUCAGGUAGGACUACCCGCUGAACUUAAGCAUAUCAAUAAGCGGAGGAAAAGAAACUAACAAGGAUUCCCUUAGUAGCGGCGAGCGAAGCGGGAUGAGCUCAAAUUUGAAAUCUGGCGUCUUUCAGGCGUCCGAGUUGUAAUCUAUAGAAGCGUUUUCUGUGCUGGACCAUGUCCAAGUCCCUUGGAACAGGGUAUCAAAGAGGGUGACAAUCCCGUACUUGACAUGACCACCAGUGCUCUGUGAUACGUUUUCGACGAGUCGAGUUGUUUGGGAAUGCAGCUCAAAAUGGGUGGUAAAUUCCAUCUAAAGCUAAAUAUUGGCGAGAGACCGAUAGCGAACAAGUACCGUGAGGGAAAGAUGAAAAGCACUUUGGAAAGAGAGUUAAACAGUACGUGAAAUUGUUGAAAGGGAAACGAUUGAAGUCAGUCGUGUCUAUUGGUUUCAGCCGGUUCUGCCGGUGUAUUACCUUUAGACGGGUCAACAUCAGUUUUGGACGGCACAUAAGAGCAGUUUGAAUGUAGCACCUCCGGGUGUGUUAUAGCUUUCUGUUGCAUAUGCUGUCCGAGACUGAGGACUGCAGCUCGCCUUUUAGGCCGGGGU